GGGGGGGGAACACAGGAAAUAUAUUUUUUAUUUUCAUGCUUUUCUUUUAUUUUUUAUUGUCAAUUGUGUGCUUGAACUUGUAGAAAUACAAGUGAUCUAUUAGGAGCAUGUAUAUAGGUUUGAUUUUAUUUACUGUAAAUUUGGCAUGAUAGUGAAUGGAUUUAAUUUUUUUAUUAUUAGACUACUAAGUUUUAUUUAUUACACUGUAAAUAGGCAUUGAAUAAUUGAAUAUACCAAAUGACAUAGAGAAUACAGGGAAACAUGUAUG
rnacentral:lncRNA from 1 species